UGGCGCACGGGUGAGUAACGCGUAGACAAUCUGCCCUUCAGUCUGGGACAACUUUUCGAAAGGAGAGCUAAUACCGGAUGACAAUGUAGUACAUAAGUACUACAUUUGAAAGCUCCGGCGCUGAAGGAGGGGUCUGCGUCCCAUUAGCUAGUUGGUAAGGUAAAGGCUUACCAAGGCGACGAUGGGUAGCGGGUUUGAGAGGACGAUCCGCCACACUGGAACUGAGACACGGUCCAGACUCCUACGGGAGGCAGCAGUGGGGAAUAUUGCACAAUGGAGGCAACUCUGAUGCAGCAAUGCCGCGUGAGUGAAGAAGGCCCUUGGGUCGUAAAGCUCUUUUAUGGGGGAAGAUGAUGACGGUACCCCAAGAAUAAGCACCGGCUAACUACGUGCCAGCAGCCGCGGUAAUACGUAGGGUGCAAGCGUUGUUCGGAAUUACUGGGCGUAAAGGGCGCGCAGGCGGAAUAGUAAGUCGGAGGUGAAAGCCCGGGGCUCAACCCCGGAGGGUCUUUCGAAACUACUAAUCUAGAGAGGGUCAGGGGUCAGCAGAAUUCAUGGUGUAGAGGUGAAAUUCGUAGAUAUCAUGAGGAAUACCGGUGGCGAAAGCGGCUGACUGGGGCCACUCUGACGCUGAGGCGCGAAAGCGUGGGGAGCAAACAGGAUUAGAUACCCUGGUGGUCCACGCCGUAAACGAUGAGCAA
rnacentral:rRNA from 1 species